rnacentral:lncRNA from 1 species
CAAAACGUAUUUAUCACAAAUGUUUUCUUGAUUUCUAAAAUGCCUGCAUUCAGUGUCGCUGUUCCCUAGGAUUCUACCCACCAUCUUUUCCUGUUCUCCCUUUUUAGUGAUCCCUUUGAGUAAUGUCCAUAGUGUUAUGUUUUUGAGAGAUGACCAAUAGUCCUUACGUGUGGAAUUUGUGGAAGAAAAUAAAAACAAGCAAAAUGUAGUAUUGGAGUCAAGAUUAUCAAAUGUAUAUUCUCAUUAGAGAAAAUCUAACAAAAUCACUCAAUUCAUAAUACAGCAACCUCCAGACCUGAAUGAGUUUGAUGAGAAAGCAUGGGAAGAAAUGCCAGCUAUUUCUUGGGCCGCCCGCGCCAUAUGGAGGUUCCCAGGCUAGGGGUUGAAUCGGAGCUGUAACCACCGG